rnacentral:rRNA from 1 species
GGGGGCCGCAAGGCUCCCGCUCGUGGAGGGGUUCGCGCACCAUCAGCUUGUUGGCGGGGUAACGGCCCACCAAGGCCUACGGUUAGCUGGUCUGAGAGGAUGACCAGCCCCACUGGGACUGAGAUACUGCCCAGACUCCUACGGGAGGCUGCAGUCGAGGAUCAUUUGCAAUGGGCGAAAGCCUGACAAUGCGACGCUGCGUGGAGGAUGAAGGCCCUCGGGUUGUAAACUCCUGUCAUAGGGGAACAGGCGGACCUACCUAAUACGUAGGCGAGUUGAGUGUACCCUAAGAGGAAUUGGCGGCUAACUCUGUGCCAGCAGCCGCGGUAAUACAGAGGCCAAGAGCGUUGUUCGGAUUUACUGGGCGUAAAAGGGCGCGUAGGCGGUGAGGCGUGUCAAGUGUGAAAUUUCCGGGGCUCAACCCGGGAAAGUGCGCUUGAAACUACCCCACUCGAGUCUGGGAGAGGGAAUCGGAAUGCAGGGUGUAGCGGUGAAAUGCGUUGAUAUCCUGCAGAACACCGGAGGCGAAGGCGGAUUCCUUGAACAGCACUGACGCUGAGGCGCGAAAGUCGGGGGAGCAAACAGGAUUAGAUACCCUGGUAGUCCCGACCUUAAACGGUGCACACUCGGGGUGGGGCCAUUUCACCGGCCCCGUCCCUUAGCUAACGCGUUAAGUGUGCCGCCUGGGGAGUACGGCCGCAAGGCUAAAACUCAAAGAAAUUGACGGGGGCCCGCACAAGCAGAGGAGCAUGUGGCUUAAUUCGAUGCAACGCGAAGAACCUUACCUGGAUUUGACAUCGUCGGCAAUGCCUUAUGAAAGUUUGGCGGAGGUUAUCCGAUAGACAGGUGCUGCAUGGCUGUCGUCAGUUCGUGCCGUGAGGUGUUUGGUUAAGUCCACCAACGAACGCAACCCCUUUGUGAUGUUGCCAGCGGGUCAAGCCGGGAACUCGUCACAUACUGCCUGUUUACGCAGGAGGAAGGUGGGGAUGACGUCAAGUCAGUAUGGCCCUUACAUCCAGGGCUGCACACGUGCUACAAUGGCGCAUACAGAGCGACGCAAGACCGCAAGGUGGAGCCAAUCGCAGAGAGUGCGCCUCAGUUCAGAUCGGGGUCUGCAACCCGACCCCGUGAAGUCGGAUUUGCUAGUAACGGCGUAUCAGCUACGACGCCGUGAAUGCGUUCCCGGGCCUUGUACACACCGCCCGUCA